rnacentral:rRNA from 1 species
AACGAACGCUGGCGGCGUGUUUAAGACAUGCAAGUCGCACGGGAUCAUUUUGGCAGCAAUACUCGGAUGGUCCAGUGGCGCACGGGUGAGUAACACGUGAAUGACAUGCCCUUCAGUGGGGGAUAGCCCAGGGAAACUUGGAUUAAUACCCCAUGGUCUCGCGAGAGUAAAGGUGGCGCAAGCUGCCGCUGGAGGAUUGGUUCGCGUUCUAUCAGCUUGUUGGCGGGGUAACGGCCCACCAAGGCUACGACGGAUACCUGGUCUGAGAGGACGAUCAGGCACACUGGAACUGAGACACGGUCCAGACACCUACGGGUGGCAGCAGUCGAGAAUAAUUCACAAUGGGGGCAACCCUGAUGGUGCAACGCCGCGUGGAGGAUGAAGGUCUUCGGAUUGUAAACUCCUGUCAUCCGGGAGCAAGACCUGACGGUGAAUAGCCGGCAGGGUUGAUAGUACCGGAAGAGGAAGGGACGGCUAACUCCGUGCCAGCAGCCGCGGUAACAC